GGGCCUCGUGCUCAUCCUGGCAACAGGAACGACCAUAAAGAAGCCGUCGAGAGAUAUCGGAAGAGUUUCUUUUCUGUUUUAUAGCCGUACUACCAUGGAAGUCUUUCGCAGAGAGAUAUGGUAGAUGGGCUAGAAGAGCAUGACAUAUACUGUUGUGUCGAUAUUUUCUCCUCGGACCUUGAAAAUUUAUGGUGGGGAUACGCAAACUUCUCAACAGGCCGUACCAAUAUCCGCAGCUGGUCUCCAAGGUGAAGAGUCUCUAGUCGAUAGAAUAAUGUAGGUAAGGGAAGUCGGCAAAUUAGAUCCGUAACUUCGGGAUAAGGAUUGGCUCUGAAGAUUGAGAUAGUCGGGCUUGAUUGGGAAACAAUAACAUGGUUUAUGUGCUCGUUCUGGGUAAAUAGAGUUUCUAUCAUUUAUGUUAGUUGCUUGUUCCCCGGAUAGUUUAGUUACGUAGCCAAUUGUGGAACUUUCUUGCUAAAAUUUUAAGAAUACUUAGUUGGGUCAAACCAAUUAGUUCUUAUUAUAUAACGAUUAUCAAUUAACAAUCAAUUCAGAACUGGCACGGACUUGGGGAAUCCGACUGUCUAAUUAAACAAAGCAUUGUGAUGGCCCUAGCGGGUGUUGACACAAUGUAUUUCUGCCCAGUGCUCUGAAUGUCAAAGUGAAGAAAUUCAAGUAAGCGCGGGUCAACGGCGGGAGUAACUAUGACUCUCUUAAGGUAGCCAAAUGCCUCGUCAUCUAAUUAGUGACGCGCAUGAAUGGAUUAACGAGAUUCCUACUGUCCUAUCUACUAUCUAGCGAAACCACAGCCAAGGGAACGGGCUUGGAUAAUUAGCGGGGAAAGAAGACCCUUUUGAGCUUGACUCUAAUCUGGCAGUGUAAGGAGACAUAAGAGGUGUGAAUAAGUGGGAGAUAUUAGACUUCGGUUUGGUAUCGACAAUGAAUACCACUACUCUUAUUGUUUCCUUACUUACUGAUUAAAUGGAACGUGUAUCAUUUCCUAGCCAUUAUACGAUAUAUUUAUUAUAUCUUAUGGUAUUGGGUUUUGAUGCAAGCUUCUUGAUCAAAGUAUCACGAGUUGUUAUAUAAUCGCAAACAAAUUCUUUAAUGAGACGAUGCAUUUAUGUAUUUUUGAUUUGAAUUUGGUAUAACUCCAAUUACUCAGGUAUGAUCCAAUUCAAGGACAUUGCAGGUAGGGAGUUUGACUGGGCGGUACAUCUCUCAAUAAUAACGGAGGUGUCCCAAGGCCAGCUCAGUGCGGACAGAACCACACAUAGAGCAAAGGGCAAAUGCUGACUUGAUCUCGGUGUUCAGUACACACAGGGACAGCAAAAGCUCGGCCUAUCGAUCCUUUUGGUUUAAAGAGUUUUUACAAGAGGUGUCAGAAAGUUACCAUAGGAUAACUGGCUUGUGGCGGCCAAGCGUUCAUAGCGACGUCGCUUUUUGAUCCUUCGAUGUCGGCUCUUCCUAUCAUUGUGAAGCAAAUUCACCAAGCGUUGGAUUGUUCACCCAUGCAAGGAACGUGAGCUGGGUUAGACCGUCGUGAGACAGGUUAGUUUUACCCUACUAAUGACAAAACGUUGUUGCGACAGCAUUCCUGCGUAGUACGAGAGGAACCGCAGGUACGGACAUGGCACAAUACUUGUUCGAGCGAACAGUGGUAUGACGCUACGUCCGUUGGAUUAUGCCUGAACGCCUCUAAGGUCGUAUCCGUGCUGGACUGCAAUGAUAAAUAGGGGCAAUUGCAUUGUAUGGCUUCUAACCAUUUAAAGUUUGU
rnacentral:rRNA from 1 species